UACGGAAGGCAGCAGUGGGGAAUAUUGCACAAUGGGCGAAAGCCUGAUGCAGCUAUGCCGCGUGUAUGAAGAAGGCCUUAGGGUUGUAAAGUACUUUCAUCGGGGAGGAAAAAACAAAACUAAUAAUUUUAUUUCUUGACGUUACCCGAAAAAGAAGCACCGACUAACUCCGUGCCAGCAGCCGCGGUAAUACGGAGGAUGCUAGCGUUAAUCAGAAUUACUGGGCGUAAAGAGCACGUAGGUGGUUUUUUUAAGUCAGAUGUGAAAUCCCUGGGCUUAACCUGGAACUGCAUUUUGAAACUGAAAUACUAGAGUAUCGUAGAGGGAGGUAGAAUUCUAGGUGUAGCGGUGAAAUGCGUAGAUAUCUGGAGGAAUACCUGUGGCGAAAGCGGCCUCCUAAACGAAUACUGACACUGAGGUGCGAAAGCGUGGGGAGCAAACGAGGGAUUAGAUACC
rnacentral:rRNA from 1 species